CGCCGGGAAGCUUGGUUGGCCGCGCGGAGCCGGGGCCAGGCUGGGAGCGUGGAGACACCAUGUGGCGGCUGGUAGACGGCUUGUGUCCGUACAGUUCCUCGUUAGUAUAGUGAUUAUGUUAUUCAACUGUACACAGAGAUCUGGCAACUCAAGAUUUCAUCAUGACAGGCUCAGAUAUUUUCUUUAAUCAAGCUUUUGAAAUGUCAUGGAUGGAAACACUUCCUCUUUCUGGUCAUGUUACUCACAUUUACCGACAGUGGGCUGCAGCAUCCUUCUCCAUCUGAGAAGCCUAGUGCACGCAAAACUUUAUUAUACAGACAAUUGCAGUAUAUGAAGAAAUCAUCUAUGUUUUCUAUGUAUCUAUACUUAUUAAUAGCUUCGUGAUCAUCUCAAUUACCAUUUUUAAAAACAUCUGCUUCGGCGUGGUUGGGUCCUUUCUGUUCCAUGAGGAACAGCGAACCAACCAAACUCAUACUAAAAUUUAAACAUCCAAGAAUUGGCAUUGAAACAAAAGAGGUAGUAUGUAUGCUUCACACA